GCCGCUUGUCAGUUGAGAUGUCAGUUGAGCUAAAGUCUGCUGUUUGCUAGUUUCCGCGCUUAGUUGACUCAAUGGCCGGUUAACAGAAACCCUUAAACACCACCAAAUUGAAGCAAAGGAGUAAAAGAGGGAUUUACAGAUAUGGGGGCUCUGAUAUCCAGAUGGAGGACAAAGCCGACCACAGUGGAGCAGCUGGAGAACCAUGAGAAGG